UACGGAGGGGGCUAGCGUUGUUCGGAAUUACUGGGCGUAAAGCGCACGUAGGCGGCUUUGUAAGUUAGAGGUGAAAGCCCGCGGCUCAACUCCGGAAUUGCCUUUAAGACUGCAUCGCUAGAAUUGUGGAGAGGUGAGUGGAAUUCCGAGUGUAGAGGUGAAAUUCGUAGAUAUUCGGAAGAACACCAGUGGCGAAGGCGACUCACUGGACACAUAUUGACGCUGAGGUGCGAAAGCGUGGGGAGCAAACAGG
rnacentral:rRNA from 1 species